UACGCAGUUGAUCCGUCAACGGAGCUUGCUCCAUCGAAAGAAAAAGAGUGGCGAACGGGUGAGUAACACGUGGGUAACCUGCCCAUCAGAAGGGGAUAACACUUGGAAACAGGUGCUAAUACCGUAUAACACUAUUUUCCGCAUGGAAGAAAGUUGAAAGGCGCUUUUGCGUCACUGAUGGAUGGACCCGCGGUGCAUUAGCUAGUUGGUGAGGUAACGGCUCACCAAGGCCACGAUGCAUAGCCGACCUGAGAGGGUGAUCGGCCACACUGGGACUGAGACACGGCCCAGACUCCUACGGGAGGCAGCAGUAGGGAAUCUUCGGCAAUGGACGAAAGUCUGACCGAGCAACGCCGCGUGAGUGAAGAAGGUUUUCGGAUCGUAAAACUCUGUUGUUAGAGAAGAACAAGGAUGAGAGUAGAACGUUCAUCCCUUGACGGUAUCUAACCAGAAAGCCACGGCUAACUACGUGCCAGCAGCCGCGGUAAUACGUAGGUGGCAAGCGUUGUCCGGAUUUAUUGGGCGUAAAGCGAGCGCAGCGGUUUCUUAAGUCUGAUGUGAAAGCCCCCGGCUCAACCGGGGAGGGUCAUUG
rnacentral:rRNA from 1 species